rnacentral:rRNA from 1 species
UACAGAGGGUGCGAGCGUUAAUCGGAAUUACUGGGCGUAAAGCGUGCGUAGACGGUAAUGUAAGUCAGAUGUGAAAUCCCCGAGCUCAACUUGGGAAUUGCAGUGGAUACUGGCAGGCUGGAGUAUGGUAGAGGAAGGUGGAAUUCCCGGUGUAGCAGUGAAAUGCGUAGAGAUCGGGAGGAACACCAGUGGCGAAGGCGGCCUUCUGGACCAAUACUGACGCUCAUGCACGAAAGCGUGGGGAGCAAACAGG